rnacentral:rRNA from 1 species
CCUACGGGUGGCAGCAGUGAGGAAUAUUGGUCAAUGGACGAGAGUCUGAACCAGCCAAGUCGCGUGAAGGAUGACUGCUCUAUGGGUUUUAAACUUCUUUUAUAUGGGAAUAAAGUGUGCCGCGCGUGUCUUUUUGUAUGUAGCUUAUGAAUAAGGAUCGGCUAACUCCGUGCCAGCAGCCGCGGUAAUACGGAGGAUCCGAGCGUUAUCCGGAUUUAUUGGGGUUAAAGGGAGCGUAGGUGGACUGUUAAGUCAGUUGUGAAAGUUUGAGGCUCAACCGUGAAAUUGCAGUUGAAACUGGUAGUCUUGAGGAUAGUAGAGGUAGGCGGAAUUCGUGGUGUAGCGGUGAAAUGCGUAGAUAUUACGAAGAACACCGAUUGCGAAGGCAGCUUACUGAACUGCAACUGACAUUGAGGCUCGAAAGCGUGGGUAUCAAACAGGAUUAGAUACCCGAGUAGUC